AGAAAGACUCUACAUGGAUAAAAGCAUGAUCCAAAGGGGGAGAUGUAUGUUUGCAAAGGCAGAUCAUGGCGUCUGCUGCUUAGAGAACACAAUGAAUCAAGCCAUUGCCUCUUGCAGAUGAUCUCAGCUCCUUUGUGGCUCUUUCCUAGCCCAUGCUGGUGGGAUGGUACGGCUGAAUAGACGAAUGUGCUGUUCUACCCAUCUGUAUGUUAGACUAAUACAGGACACAAUCUAGUCGACAAACAAAAAACACAAGCCAGUAUGUAUAUAACCUUUAGUAAUAUAGAUUCACAUUCCAGCAACUACUUAAAGUUGGGCCAAAUUGGUUAAAGUAUAAAGAAAUAGCUGUUUAAUCUGAAUUCCUUUCUUGGGCCAAAAGAUAAGAUAACCUCAAUUUUCCUUAUAUACAUUGUUAUCCAUAGAAGCAAGCCCAAUUGAGAACUGUGUGCGCGCGUGUGUGUGUAUGUAUGUGUGUGUAUGUGUAUGUUUUACAGAUUUAGCAUCUUAAAACCUACUUAUUUCCUACUGUUUUAGGAAAUAUGUGUUGUGAUUCAUUUUACAGAUGAGAAAACAGGUUUAUGAAUGUUAAAUAAUUCACUGCAAGCCUUACAGGCUAUCUUUAUAUAGAACAUGCCAAGAUGCUAUCCAGUGAAGAGACACAGUAGCACAUGUGGAGCCUUACAGGCUAUCUUUAUAUAGAACAUGCCAAGAUGCUAUCCAGUGAAGAGACACAGUAGCACAUGUGGAGAGAAGUGGGUGUGGCUGGCAGAGCUCUUAUUUGAGCCCUUACCCAGCAUGACUGCUCUGUUCCCUAACCCAUGGUGUCCUGGAUUCGGUCAUUCCCCUGCUCCAGCAUGGAAAUGGAAUUGGAAUCAUCCUGGGAAAACAUUGUGAAGAACUUAGAGGUCACGUGCUACUUCCAUUAGUAGACAUGACGUGGCCAUGUCUGUCCUCAGUUGACCAUGAGGAAAUCCAGAUGCAGGUAGGCAGCCGUUGGCCCUUCCAGUCAGUGCCUAGCACCCUCCAGGGAAGAAGAGGAGAGAUGGUGCUGUGAAUGGCUGGCAGGGCCGCUCCAGUGACACAGCUGAGGUCUAUUUCUAGAUGUAUUUAGGUUUCAUCUCACAGAGAUAUAUUUUCAGACUGUCUCCUCGGGAUUCAUGCUCAGUGGCUUCUGCAUUACUUACUUUUUCUGGCUCUCUUGAAUGACUCCCCAAACGCAUAGAAUAAGGACUCCUGUCAUUGCAUGAUAUUAUUGGUAUGAGUUCAAAAAAAACAAAAUGAAACAGAACCAUAAUAAAACAACAAACACCUCGCUCCUCACUGCCCCCAGCUCAGCUUCCGAUACUGCCUUUCCACCGUUUCAGGCUUCCUCUUCCUUCCACUCCUCCCUGCCACGUGAUAUUUGUUCUGCCCUGUGUAUGGUUGGCCUCUUACUAACCACUUCAGUCUUCCCAUAGGCUAACACCUGGCCUCUGCAGAUGAAAGUACUCUUGAAGAGAAGCAGCUUUUUGCUCUAGAAUGUACACAUUAAUAAUAAGUCUAAACAAGAGAUAGUUCUGUCUCUAAACAAAACGAAACAGAACCAUAAUAAACCAACAAAAACCUCUAAACAUUCCAUAACCUGUUCUCACAGAGGAAUGUAUACCUCGUGCUGGAAACUACACCUCUGUGUGCUUUUCAGCAUCCUAAAGGGACAGAUAAAUACAGACAAACGAGGGCUAUGUAAUUGACAGUAACAUGAGGUGUAAUUUUGUCUCCCACUGCUGAGAGCACAGUAGACAAUUAGCAGCUCCAUUUUAAUCACCUCCUCCCUAAUUAGUUAAAUAUGUCCCCUUGGGAGUUUUGGCUUUGUCUGGUUGGCUUUUCCACAAGCUGAUCUUAGAGUAAUUCCCGAAUAUUGAGAGGCUUUCUCAUGUCAGGGAGAUAUAAAGUUGGGCACCUGCUGGCUUAGAAUAUUACUCAGUAUUAUGAUGUUCUUAGAGGUGGUGCAGGGGAAUUUUAGUUUCUUUUCUUUUUGUUCUUUCAUUGUUCAGUAAUACUUUAGGAUGACUGGUGGGGGUGUCUAAAUAAACCGCAGUUUAGUUGAUUUUGUAGCAUGUUAAUUAUUACAUAAACCACAGAUUUUGGCCUAUAGUCACAGUCUGUCUUAAAGACAUGUUGACCAUUUUCAUGGUAUUGGUGGGUAUGUGAGAGAGGAAGAAGCUGAAGCUGUAUUUUAACAUUAAACAUUAUGGAUUUUAUCCACAUAUCAAUGAGAUCUUUCAACUCAAAUGAAGGGGCCCCUGUUCAAACUUGCUUGAGAAAAAACUGAUGGUGUAACUGAAAACACCACAGUGUAGUAUAUUUCGGCCCAUUUGAAUCAGUUACAUAAUGUUCAGAGUUGGCUGCUUUUCUGCUAGCUUUAUUUUCUGAUGUAUUCUUUCCACAUACAGCAAGAGGGUUCUUAACUAUUCUAGGUGGAUAUCUAGACAUAUAUCAUAAUCAAUCAUAAUCAUACCAUCAUAUUCUUUGUCAUCUUUAUUUUCUGAGAUGUUCUCACUGUGUAGUUCAGGUUUGCUUCCAAUUUGCAUUUGUGUGUGUGUGUGGUGUGUAUGCAUGCGUGUGUAUGCAUGCGCAUGUGCGUGCACAUGAUAUUGGAGUUUGAACCCACGGCCUUCAGCAUGCUAUGUAAGUGUUCUACUACUGGUGUACUGGUAUUUCUAUUCACUACAUCUUAUUAUUAGGAAUUUGUGACAGUAAAAUUUGUGAAACUGAACAGACAGUAUUUCAGACUCCGUGGGCCAACAUAGUGGCUGCUGUAGUUUUUGAAGUUUCCCAAAUUUGUUCAAAAGUCGUCAAAGGCAGGAUACCAGUGAAUGAGUACAGUCGUCUUUCAGUGAGAUUUUGCUUACAAAACAAAGAAGUUGCGUCUGGGCUAAGCUUUUUGGUCUAUACAAACAUUGGUAAGAGAUUCUUUGCAAAAUAACUUCAAAGGAAUUCCAUAUUUGAGUUUUAGUGAAGUAAGUGCUUUGUCCAGAGGAUGUAGUAGAUGAAGUGACCAGACUUGACAUGCUCACUGAAACCGUUGUCAUCAUCACUAAUGAUGAAUGUUGACAUCCUCUGGAGAAAAAUUAUUGCAGCAUGGCAGAGGAGAGCGGGCAUGAGAUUGGGAAAAGAAGUGGUUUCUUUACUCUGAGACCCAUCUUCUAAUAACCCUUCUCUUCAGAGAGCCUACUCUUUGAUACUUGAUCACACAUGCAUCACUAGUGUCACACUUAGCAUAAAAGACGAGGUGCUGUCCACCAAGACUGGGACGGACAUAGGUUCACCUCUCAUUCAGCUGAGUCCCAGGAGUCCCAGCUGGUGCAUGAGAGCAGGAAAACAGUACAAAGGACUGAUAUGUUGGAAAGAAAGAUGUAAAAUUGCCGUAUUUUCAUAUAGCAUGAUUAUCUAUUUAGGAAAUGUUUGUCAAAAACAAAUAAACAAACAAACACCCGCCAAUAAGCACUAGGAAUUAGAUGGUAAGGUCUCCGAGAGGGUGUUAGAUUCUUUCCCUAUUCCAUCAUUAUAGUUUUAUAACCUAGCAAUAAAUAAAUGGUAUCCAAACUUACAAACACAUUGUAUUCACACCCCCCCCCCCAAUAGUGCCUAGGCACAGAUCUAAGUAAGCACUGGAAAGUGUCAUAAAAGCAGAGCCAAAAAAAAAAAAAAAUGGAGAGUGUACUGCACCCACAGAUCAGGGGAAUCGGUUUGUAAAGGAGUCGGCUCUCCAAACAGAUCUGUAGGUGUAAUGCAAUUCCUAUCAAGACUGUGGCGAAUUCUCUCUAAAAUUUAUAUAUAAAGCUGCAGAAAGCAGUGAAGCUAAAGCAAUUUAAGAAAAGGGAAUGAAGUGAGAUGAUUUAUUCUACUCUAUUUUAAGACUUCCUUUAUAGUGACAAUAAUCAAGACAUUGUAUUGACAGAGGAUAGACACCUAGAUCAAUGGAACAGAAUAAAGAACCCAGAAAUAGACUUCCACAGACAUGCGCAAUUGAUUUUAGACAGAAGUGCAAAAGCAAUUCAAUAAAGAAAAAAAGCUUUCUCUCUUUCUUUUUCUUUUUCUUUUCUUUUUUUUUUUUUUGAGUCAACAGAAACCACACAAAUGGUACUUUUCAAAGUAAUAGAUACCAUAGGCAAAAACCUGGGACCUCAACUUAAAUUUUAUAUUUUACAUAUGAAUUAAUUCAAAGUGAGUCAUAGAUAAAAUAUAAAACUAUAAGACUAAGGUAAAAAUGUUUAGGACUAUGUGGAUUUUUAAACAUGACACUAAAAAUGUGGUCCCUAAAAUUUAGG
rnacentral:lncRNA from 1 species